AAAAAGGGACAGUGCAGGGGCCGCAUGGAAGUCUGAGAGUUCUGUUCUGGCCAGGUGCCCAGCAUGAGAGAGAGGACAGUGGGGAGAGUCGUGUGAAGUGGAGUCUGAAGCCUGGCCUUUCCUUCCACACCGUGCUCCCACAGCUCCCUUAUCUGGGUCGAGGACCCACAGGAUGGCCCAGCCCACACCCAACCCCCUGUGGCUGUCCGUGCAGUGGAAGGCCUGGUCAUCGACCAGGUCUAACAGAGAGCCUGUGGGAGUCUCAUCUGCCCACUGACACUCUUCUCCCAGGGCCUGGCCAGAGCCGAUCCCAUCCCCCAUGCACAUGAGCAUCAGGACUUAGGUUGGAGGCAGAUUGGUGAGCAGGCGGCUCGCCACACCUACUAUCUGGGGCCCCGGUGGUGGUGGUUAGGACAAGUGGAUGUGGAGAGGGCACAGGGUGACAUGGGACUGUGGAAAGGAUGGAAUUCUCGGGUGCCAAGU